UGGCGGACGGGUGAGUAAUGUCUGGGAAACUGCCUGAUGGAGGGGGAUAACUACUGGAAACGGUAGCUAAUACCGCAUAACGUCACAAGACCAAAGAGGGGACCUUCGGGCCUCUUGCCAUCGGAUGCGCCCAGAUGGGAUUAGCUAGUAGGUGGGGUAACGGCUCACCUAGGCGACGAUCCCUAGCUGGUCUGAGAGGAUGACCAGCCACACUGGAACUGAGACACGGUCCAG
rnacentral:rRNA from 1 species